CGCCUACGGGACGCAGCAGUGGGGAAUAUUGCACAAUGGGGGAAACCCUGAUGCAGCGACGCCGCGUGAGUGAAGAAGUAAUUCGUUAUGUAAAGCUCUAUCCGCAGGGAAGAAAAUGACGGUACCUGAGUAAGAAGCCCCGGCUAACUACGUGCCAGCAGCCGCGGUAAUACGUAGGGGGCAAGCGUUAUCCGGAUUUACUGGGUGUAAAGGGAGCGUAGACGGCAGGGCAAGUCUGGAGUGAAAGCCCGGGGCCCAACCCCGGGACUGCUUUGGAAACUGCCAUGCUAGAGUGCUGGAGAGGG
rnacentral:rRNA from 1 species